rnacentral:rRNA from 1 species
UGGGGAAUAUUGGACAAUGGGCGAAAGCCUGAUCCAGCCAUGCCGCGUGUGUGAAGAAGGUCUUCGGAUUGUAAAGCACUUUAAGUUGGGAGGAAGGGCAGUUACCUAAUACGUGAUUGUUUUGACGUUACCGACAGAAUAAGCACCGGCUAACUCUGUGCCAGCAGCCGCGGUAAUACAGAGGGUGCAAGCGUUAAUCGGAAUUACUGGGCGUAAAGCGCGCGUAGGUGGUUAGUUAAGUUGGAUGUGAAAUCCCCGGGCUCAACCUGGGAACUGCAUUCAAAACUGACUGACUAGAGUAUGGUAGAGGUGGUGGAAUUUCCUGUGUAGCGGUGAAAUGCGUAGAUAUAGGAAGGAACACCAGUGGCGAAGGCGACCACCUGGACUGAUACUGACACUGAGGUGCGAAAGCGUGGGGAGCAAACAGGAUUAGAUACCCAUGUAGUCCCUGAGCGGGCUGGCAAGGCGCAU